rnacentral:rRNA from 1 species
UACAGAGGUCUCAAGCGUUGUUCGGAUUCAUUGGGCGUAAAGGGUGCGUAGGCGGCGCGGUAAGUCGGGCGUGAAAUUUCGAGGCUUAACUCCGAAACUGCAUUCGAUACUGCCGUGCUUGAGGACUGGAGAGGAGACUGGAAUUUACGGUGUAGCGGUGAAAUGCGUAGAUAUCGUAAGGAAGACCAGUGGCGAAGGCGGGUCUCUGGACAGUUCCUGACGCUGAGGCACGAAGGUCAGGGGAGUAAACGGG